AUACAGUACAUGUGUGAAAUGUUAAAGUUUAAAAAUAAGCCUUUUCAUUUCAGAAUAAACAGCAAAUUGAAAUGCCGUUUUUGUGGUACCGAAAAUAUAGCACGCCUGGACAGACAUUUAGCUUUCUUCCACAAACACUGGAUUGCGGACAGGCGGAUAGAAUUAAAACGUGCUAAACAGAAAAGGGCUCUGAAACUCCUCGUGGAACUCUGGGCCUCUGGUCCAAAUCCUCCUAUGGUAACAAGCCUGGAUGUGCCUCCGAAUCACUCAACAGAAGAUAAUCCAGAAGUCCUCCAGAAUGUUCUAGCAGCCCCUGCAAAAAAGCUUGCAAAGUCUAAAUGUUCACAGUGCACACACAAGAAUAGCCAGUUACGGCAACAAAUGGCGGUUAACAAAGCCUUGAGUGAUAGAAUUUGUGCGGUGGCCAGAUGGGCAAUACUGUGGCAGAGAUAUGAAAGGGCGACUCUAGCUUCUUUAGUGUCAAAGACUGAAUCUUUCUUUCAGAGUUAUUUGCCAAGGCUGGCUGGUGUACGUCACACAUCAAAGCAAACCGCAGAUGCACAGCAGCGGAUGAACACUGUGAGAUGGUUCAUUAUAGAUAGCUGUCACGGUCAAAUCCCUACUCGGGAUCUUAAAGAGGUCCUCACUGAGGAAAAUAUAGAUUAAACGGUGUAGCAAGUUUUCACAUUGACGAGGACGAGUUGCCAAAUUUGUGGAUGGUUACUCAGGGUUUACAGGGCCCACUUGAAGAGUUGGGACAGCAGAAGACAAGAAAAGAUCUUUGUUGACUUCACUUUGUUGUCAGUGGUUUUGUUGAUGUAAAUAGUUAUCAGAGUUCUGUAAGCAUAGUUCUAAGAGAUAAAUUGCUGCAAGCACACUGGAAAUUUAUCUUCCAAAAAUACGAUUUCUUUUAAAGGGAUAGUUCACCCAUAAAUUAAAAUUAUGUCAUUAUGUAUACUCACUCACAUGGAGCAAAAAAGAUGUUAGGUAGAAUGUUAACCUCAGUCCCUAUUUACUGUACUUUUAUUGCAUUUCUUUUUUUUUUUUUCCUCCAUAAAAUGAAAGUGAAUGGAGACUAAGGCUAACAUUCUGCCUAGCAUGGCCUUUUGUGUUCCACAGAAGAAAGAAAGUGAUAUGGGUUUGGAAUAACAUGAGGAUGAGUAAAUUGACAAAAUGUUCAUUUUUGGGUGAUGUAUGCCUUUAAGCAUUGUCAAAACUGUUUCUUAACUCUCAAAAAGUUAUUGCUUUACAAUGCUUGGCAAAACAUGACUUGUCGGUCUGUAUCUUGCACAAACUGCAUCCAAGAGGGAAUCUUAUAGCAGGGAUAUCACCUCCCCCAAAAUAUGUGCAUAUAUUUACCUGCUCAAACACACAAACACAUACACUUGUGUCCUUGACGGGGUUAUGGCUAAGUCUCUUUCUGUCCCGCAUGAUAAAUAUGCACAGGAGGACCAACUCCUGAAUUUUAAUCCAUUCUGCCUGAUUCUUCUUCUCGAUUCGACUUGAAAAGGCACAGUACCGAUGCCUGUGGACCCCAAAACUGUCUGUCUGAAUAUGAUGGAUGAAGUCAAGUUGAUGUGCCGUCACAUGUCUGUACCACUCUGCAGAUUAAUAAGGACAAGAUUCUGACAGCUUCUGUUUAUUGUUGCAGCAAUGUUUAUUUAAUUUAUUAUUUAAGCCAUUGUUUUAUAAUUUAAGCCACAAUCUUUCUUUUAAUUGCUGUCUUGGUAUCAAAACAGUUUUGUGUUCUUUAUUGUUAUUUUCAUACAAACAUAUAUUCAGUAAACAGAUAAUAAUAGUAGCAGGCAAAGGAAUGGGAAUGUAUGGCAAUUUGUGAUUUCCUUGGGCUGAUAGUUUGAAUGGAAGUUACCAUGGGCCAGUAAAAUGUUGCUUUGCCAUACAAACAUUUAGAGCCCCCUUUCAAAUAUAGAAAUGGACCCAAACAGACCUUUUUUUUUUUUUUUAUCCCAAAAUGUGAGGUUUUGAAUUAAAACAGUGACUGCCCACUAGAGGGCAGUGGAUGGAUGUCAAACAAAUGGGGCAAUGCUGUCUUGAAG